GCUGAAAAUUACGAGCCACUAAACUUUAACUUCCCAGAUGAAGAUUAGCAUGGCCCCUGCAUAAGGAUGACACGUACAAAUCGAGAAAUGGUCCAAAUUUUU